AUUGAACGCUGGCGGCAGGCCUAACACAUGCAAGUCGAGCGGAUGAGGAAAGCUUGCUUUUCGAUUCAGCGGCGGACGGGUGAGUAAUGCCUAGGAAUUUGCCUGUUAGUGGGGGAUAACUCGGGGCAACUCGGGCUAAUACCGCAUACGUCCUACGGGAGAAAGUGGGGGAUCUUCGGACCUCACGCUAACAGAUGAGCCUAGGUCGGAUUAGCUAGUAGGUGAGGUAAUGGCUCACCUAGGCGACGAUCCGUAACUGGUCUGAGAGGAUGAUCAGUCACACUGGAACUGCGACACGGUCCAGACUCCUACGGGAGGCAGCAGUGGGGAAUAUUGGACAAUGGGCGAAAGCCUGAUCCAGCCAUGCCGCGUGUGUGAAGAAGGUCUUCGGAUUGUAGAGCACUUUAAGUUGGGAGGAAGGGUAUUCACCUAAUACGUGGGUACUUUGACGUUACCAACAGAAUAAGCACCGGCUAACUCUGUGCCAGCCGCCGCCGUAAAAC
rnacentral:rRNA from 1 species